rnacentral:rRNA from 1 species
UGCAGUCGAACGAUGAAGCUGGAGCUUGCUCCGGCCGAUUAGUGGCGAACGGGUGAGUAACACGUGAGCAAUCUGCCCUUGACUCUGGGAUAACUGCGGGAAACUGUAGCUAAUACCGGAUACUUUCCUCGCUGGGCAUCCAGCGGGGAAGAAAGAAUUUCGGUCAAGGAUGAGCUCGCGGCCUAUCAGCUAGUUGGUGAGGUAAAGGCUCACCAAGGCGACGACGGGUAGCCGGCCUGAGAGGGUGACCGGCCACACUGGAACUGAGACACGGUCCAGACUCCUACGGGAGGCAGCAGUGGGGAAUAUUGCACAAUGGGCGAAAGCCUGAUGCAGCAACGCCGCGUGAGGGAUGAAGGCCUUCGGGUUGUAAACCUCUUUUAGCAGGGAAGAAGCGAAAGUGACGGUACCUGCAGAAAAAGCACCGGCUAACUACGUGCCAGCAGCCGCGGUAAUACGUAGGGUGCAAGCGUUGUCCGGAAUUAUUGGGCGUAAAGAGCUCGUAGGCGGUUUGUCACGUCUGCUGUGAAAAUCCGAGGCUCAACCUCGGACUUGCAGUGGGUACGGGCAGGCUAGAGUGCGGUAGGGGAGAAGGGAAUUCCUGGUGUAGCGGUGGAAUGCGCAGAUAUCAGGAGGAACACCAAUGGCGAAGGCACUUCUCUGGGCCGUAACUGACGCUGAGGAGCGAAAGCGUGGGGAGCGAACAGGAUUAGAUACCCUGGUAGUCCACGCCGUA